ensembl:lncRNA
CCAGCAUGAAGGCUGAGCUUGGCCAGUUCAGAACUACUCUAGCUGCAAGAGGAGGCUUCUGAGGAAGAUUGAGGAAAGAACAAGCUGUGAACCGCCCGUGUGUGUACUCGAGGCUACUCCAGUUCCGGUUUCCAGCCCCUGUGAAGAGGAAGCAGAUCUGGAUGGAGAAGUCUCAGCUCCUUCUCCAGCACCAUGUCUGCCUGCAUGGCACCGUGCUCCCUGCCAUGAUGGACUCAACCUCCAAAACUAGUUUGAACUAAUGUCAUUGACAGAAGAAGAGAUUUCAAGACCUGAUAUUGUGUAGUUAUUAGUGAUCACUUGUGUGACGACCUAUACAGUAGUGAUAACUAAGACACAGAGUGACAGUGACUGGUCCAUUGCCUGAACUGCUAUACUGGAAUGAGCCAGCAGGAGCACCAGCGGGCCAGGGAGCAUCAAGGGAAAGGAAGAGGAGAAAAUAGACACGAACGUACAGAACUGUGUCUGGCCUGGGUGAGCAGGCAGAAGGCCCACUGCAGCCCGAGUUCCUUAGCUCCAACCCGAAAAAGGCUCUGGGCUGUAGUAGGAUCCCGAACACCCAGCUAAUUAAGACUUUCUGUCAUCUGUUGUUCUUUUUUU